ensembl:rRNA 5S_rRNA 5S ribosomal RNA
AUCUAUAGCUAUACCACAUUGAACACCAUUGAUCUCAUCUGAUCCCAGAAGUUAAGCAUGGUUAGACCUGGACAAUACCUGGAUGGAAGACUAACUAGGAUUACUGGGAACGAGGGUG